UAAACCUCACCUCUACUGUUUUUCAUUAGACAUGUGGAUUGGUGCUUUGGGUGUCUGCCGUUUACUCUGGCUCGCCUUAAAUGUCUAAGUGGAGAAUGCGUAAUAAGUCUUCGCAACCCUCCACUCUAAUACAAACUCUUUAUA
rnacentral:misc_RNA from 1 species